UACGAAGGGGGCUAGCGUUGUUCGGAAUCACUGGGCGUAAAGGGCGCGUAGGCGGCUUUGUAAGUCAGGGGUGAAAUCCUGGAGCUCAACUCCAGAACUGCCUUUGAUACUGAGAAGCUUGAGUCCGGGAGAGGUGAGUGGAACUGCGAGUGUAGAGGUGAAAUUCGUAGAUAUUCGCAAGAACACCAGUGGCGAAGGCGGCUCACUGGCCCGGUACUGACGCUGAGGUGCGAAAGCGUGGGGAGCAAACAGG
rnacentral:rRNA from 1 species